UACGUAGGGUGCGAGCGUUAAUCGGAAUUACUGGGCGUAAAGCGUGCGCAGGCGGUUCGUGAUGUCUGAUGUGAAAGCCCCGGGCUCAACCUGGGAAUUGCAUUGGAAACUAGCGGGCUGGAGUGUGGCAGAGGGGGGUGGAAUUCCACGUGUAGCAGUGAAAUGCGUAGAUAUGUGGAGGAACACCGAUGGCGAAGGCAGCCCCCUGGGUUAACACUGACGCUCAUGCACGAAAGCGUGGGUAGCAAACAGG
rnacentral:rRNA from 1 species